UACGUAGGGGCAAGCGUUGUCCGGAUUUAUUGGGCGUAAAGCGCGUGUAGGCGGCCAGGUAGGUCCGCUGUGAAACCCGAGGCUCAACCUCGGGACGUCGGCGGAAACCAUCUGGCUAGAGUCCGGAAGAGGGUCGCGGAAUUCCCGGUGUAGAGGUGAAAUUCGUAGAUAUCGGGAGGAACACCAGUGGCGAAGGCGGACGCCUGGGCCAAUAUUGAC
rnacentral:rRNA from 1 species